rnacentral:RNase_P_RNA from 1 species
GAAGCGGGCGAAGGCGAUCGCCUGCAUGGCCAUGCUGUCGGCAGGAGGAAAGUCCGGACUGGGCAGGGCACGGUGAUUGGUAACGCCAACCCGGCGCGAGCCGAGGGAAAGUGCCACAGAAAAGACACCGCCUAAGUGGAAACGGCGCCGGGACCGAAUGCGCCGUGGUCGUUUGAUUCUCCGAAUAGCGGACGCCUGAUGACAACGGCCGCACUCGGUUCCGGAAUUUUCGACAUUUCCACCGGUAAGGGUGAAAUGGUGCGGUAAGAGCGCACCGCGCGACCGGUGACGGUCGUGGCAGGGUAAACCCCACCGCCAGCAAGCCCAAAUAAGCAGCGAGAGGCGGCCCGUCUCGCGGAUCGAUUCAAUCGUGAUUCGAUCUGAAGCUGCGGGUAGGGUGCUCGAGCCGACGGGCGACCGUCGGCCUAGAUAAAUGAUCGCCACGCCGCGCAAGCGGCGGACAGAAUCCGGCUUACUCGCCCGCUUCGUUU